UCAUUGGAUGGAUGGAUGGAUGGAUGGAUGGAUGGAUGGAUGGAUCGAUCCAUCCAUCCAUCCAUCCAUCCAUCCAUCCAUCCAUCCAUCAAUCCAGACAA
rnacentral:miRNA from 1 species